rnacentral:rRNA from 1 species
CCUACGGGAGGCAGCAGUGGGGAAUCUUGCGCAAUGGGCGAAAGCCUGACGCAGCAACGCCGCGUGCGGGAAGAAGGCUUUUCGGGCUGUAAACCGCUUUCAGCAGGAACGAAAAUGACGGUACCUGCAGAAGAAGGAGCGGCCAACUAUGUGCCAGCAGCCGCGGUGAUACAUAGGCUUCAAGCGUUGUCCGGAUUUAUUGGGCGUAAAGGGUUCGUAGGCGGUCGAGUAAGUCGGGUGUGAAAAUUCUGGGCUCAACCCAGAGACGCCACCCGAUACUGCUUAACUUGAGUUCGAUAGGGGAGUGGGGAAUUCCUAGUGUAGCGGUGAAAUGCGCAGAUAUUAGGAGGAACACCGGUGGCGAAGGCGCCACUCUGGAUCGAUACUGACGCUGAGGAACGAAAGCAUGGGUAGCAAACAGGAUUAGAUACCCUGGUAGUCCAUGCCGUAAACGGUGGGCACUAGGUGUGGGAUUCUAUUAACGAAUUCCGCGCCGUCGCUAACGCAUUAAGUGCCCCGCCUGGGGAGUACGGUCGCAAGCUAAAACUCAAAGGAAUUGACGG